rnacentral:rRNA from 1 species
GUAAGGAAUAUUGGGCAAUGGAGGCAACUCUGACCCAGCCAUGCCGCGUGCAGGAAGACGGCCCUACGGGUUGUAAACUGCUUUUAAUAGGGAGUAAAAUCAGCUACGUGUAGUUGAUUGCAAGUACCUAUAGAAUAAGCAUCGGCUAACUCCGUGCCAGCAGCCGCGGUAAUACGGAGGAUGCAAGCGUUAUCCGGAUUUAUUGGGUUUAAAGGGUGCGCAGGCGGACUAAUAAGUCAGUGGUGAAAUUUACAUGCUUAACAUGUAUCGUGCCAUUGAUACUGUUAGACUAGUAUACAAAUGACGUAGCUGGAAUGUGUUAUGUAGCGGUGAAAUGCAUAGAUAUAACACAGAACACCGAUCGUGAAGACAGGUUACGAAUUUGUUAUAGACGCUCAGGCACGAAAGCGUGGGGAUCAAACAGGAUUAGAAACCCCAGUAGUCC